UACGGAGGGUGCAAGCGUUGCUCGGAAUUAUUGGGCGUAAAGGGUAGGUAGGUGGUCUCAUUUGUCUGGGGUGAAAGCCUUGAGCUUAACUCAAGAAGUGCCCCGGAAACGGUGAGACUCGAGUACUGGAGAGGUUCGUGGAAUUCCCGGUGUAGCGGUGAAAUGCGUAGAGAUCGGGAGGAACACCAGAGGCGAAGGCGGCGAACUGGACAGUUACUGACGCUGAGGAGCGAAAGCGUGGGGAGCAAACAGG
rnacentral:rRNA from 1 species